rnacentral:rRNA from 1 species
UUUGACAUGUACGGAAUUCGCCAGAGAUGGCUUAGUGCUCGAAAGAGAACCGUAACACAGGUGCUGCAUGGCUGUCGUCAGCUCGUGUCGUGAGAUGUUGAGUUAAGUCCCGCAACGAGCGCAACCCUUGUCAUUAGUUGCUACAUUCAGUUGGGCACUCUAAUGAGACUGCCGGUGACAAGCCGGAGGAAGGUGGGGAUGACGUCAAGUCCUCAUGGCCCUUAUAGGUGG